rnacentral:rRNA from 1 species
UACGUAGGGGGCAAGCGUUGUCCGGAAUCAUUGGGCGUAAAGAGCGUGUAGGCGGCCAGAUAAGUCCGCUGUGAAAUCUCGAGGCUCAACUUCGAGCUGUCGGUGGAAACUGUCUGGCUAGAGUCCGGAAGAGGAGAAUGGAAUUCCUGGUGUAGCGGUGAAAUGCGCAGAUAUCAGGAAGAACACCCGUGGCGAAGGCGGUUCUCUGGGACGGUACUGACGCUGAGACGCGGAAAGCGUGGGGAGCGAACAGG